rnacentral:rRNA from 1 species
AACGAACGCUGGUGGCAUGCCUAGCACAUGCAAGUCGAACGAGACCUUCGGGUCUAGUGGCGCACGGGUGCGUAACGCGUGGGAAUCUGCCCUUGGGUUCGGAAUAACGUUUGGAAACGAACGCUAAUACCGGAUGAUGUCUUCGGACCAAAGAUUUAUCGCCCAGGGAUGAGCCGCGUAGGAUUAGCUUGUUGGUGAGGUAAAGGCUCACCAAGGCGACGAUCCUUAGCUGGUCUGAGAGGAUGAUCAGCCAUACUGGGACUGAGACACGGCCCAGACUCCUACGGGAGGCAGCAGUGGGGAAUAUUGGACAAUGGGCGAAAGCCUGAUCCAGCAAUGCCGCGUGAGUGAUGAAGGCCUUAGGGUUGUAAAGCUCUUUUACCCGGGAUGAUAAUGACAGUACCGGGAGAAUAAGCCCCGGCUAACUCCGUGCCAGCAGCCGCCGUAAAAC